rnacentral:rRNA from 1 species
AUGAUCUUUCCCUCGCUAGCUCGCUCCUCCUCCCAACGACCAGAGCACGGCCGGGCCUCCGCCGCCCGCCCAUCCUCGCCCUCCUCCGCUCCCGCUCCACUCAUCCUCCCUCACCGCUCCGCUUGGCCUCCGCUGCCGCCCACCGGUCCUUCCGCCCACUCCUCCCAAUGGGCGCCAGAGCACGGGCGGGCUUCCGCCGCCGCCUGCCGAUCCUCCGCCGCCUCCCGCGCGCCAGCGUUCGCAUACGGAAAGAAUCCACCCAGGACGCAAUGUACAUGGACCAAGCUCCGCCGGAUCUUCACUGCUGGUGUUCCUCCAGACCAGAUCGACGACGAAAACGGUUGGAUCACCCCCGCAGCCGUUCGUUCCGCCUCGACUAGACGCACCACGCACCACCUCCCAUCCAGCCCCGCCACCCCUCUCUGCCAAGCCCCUCUGCUGUAUGUGUUCGACGAUUUUUCUCUGAAGGCACAAGUUGCUGCUAUGUUGAUUCAACCUUUGGGUAGCAUUCUGAUUAAAAAUGUUCUGUUUGUGGAGCAAAGAUUAUGGAUGACAGCAGACAACAUUGCAGAUACGUUGCAGCUGGGCACCCUGAUCAGGUUUCCUUUUUGGAAAUCUGGUCCAAGCCCCACUACAGUUUUAUAUAAGGAUGUUGGAGGCAGCAUCGGAAGAGACAAGUCUGCGGCAAAUUUCUCCCUGAUACAAAAACAGAAGGAUGAGGUUGGAAUCUUGUCCAAACUCCACAUCGCUGUCACCGAACAAAGUUGGAGGCAAAACAAUGUUAUGGAUGGUCUACAAGAUUAUCUGGAUGAAUUCAUCUCCAGGGCAGACCGGCACCGCCGAGGGAUUCGCCAAGGUACGCGCACGCUCCUCCUCCCCCGCGCUACUCCCGCUCGUCUGUCUGUCUUGUGCAAGGUGCCUAAUAAGCUCUCCCUUCUAUGCUCCUGUCGCAAGGCGCUCACGGAGGAGGCCAAGGAGCACUACGACAAGGCCAUCUUCAAGGUGCUUGAUCUGGAUGACUAUGCCGUUGAGGACGAGGAGUACGAUGAGAAGCUCAAGAAGGAGAACAUCACAUUCUUCUUCCUCGCAACUAGUAUCAGUCAACUGGCCAGCCUGGAGCAGCUUGGUGUUGUACAUGAUGGUGUUAACUGUGAAAAUGCCAAGUACAGAUGUAUGAAACCUCUUAACUGUGGACGACAACUACUUGAGAAGGACCAUCAUCGCCCAUCAAGUACGCCAUUGAGCCCCACUGCUGUUGCGUUGAAUCUCAUGCCAGCGCUGGUGCGCCUGUGGCUUGAUGUGCUGUGA